rnacentral:rRNA from 1 species
GAUGAACGCUGGCGGCGUGCCUAAUACAUGCAAGUCGAGCGAACAGACGAGGAGCUUGCUCCUCUGACGUUAGCGGCGGACGGGUGAGUAACACGUGGAUAACCUACCUAUAAUACUGGGAAAACUUCGGGAAACCGGAGCUAAUACCGGAUAAUAUAUUGAACCGCAUGGUUCAAUAGUGAAAGACGGUUUUGCUGUCACUUAUAGAUGGAUCCGCGCCGCAUUAGCUAGUUGGUAAGGUAACGGCUUACCAAGGCAACGAUGCGUAGCCGACCUGAGAGGGUGAUCGGCCACACUGGAACUGAGACACGGUCCAGACUCCUACGGGAGGCAGCAGUAGGGAAUCUUCCGCAAUGGGCGAAAGCCUGACGGAGCAACGCCGCGUGAGUGAUGAAGGUCUUCGGAUCGUAAAACUCUGUUAUUAGGGAAGAACAAAUGUGUAAGUAACUAUGCACGUCUUGACGGUACCUAAUCAGAAAGCCACGGCUAACUACGUG